rnacentral:lncRNA from 1 species
UCUUAGAACAACUUGGUUUAACCAAGUGCAAGGAUAGCAUUGUUGGAAGCACAACUUUGAGGGGUGUUUCCGGGGGAGAGAGAAAAAGGGUUAGCAUUGGGCAAGAAUUGCUUAUAAAUCCAAGCUUGUUGUUUUUAGAUGAACCUACCUCUGGGUUAGACUCAACCACAGCACAGAGGAUUGUGUCAACUUUGUGGGAGCUUGCAAGAGGAGGGAGGACUGUUGUGAUGACAAUACACCAGCCUUCAAGUAGGUUAUACUACUUGUUUCAUAAAGUGUUGUUGCUGGCAGAAGGGAACACUUUGUAUUUUGGGAAGGGAUCUGAAGCUAUUGAGUACUUUUCUAGUAUUGGAUAUGCGCCAGCAAUGGCCAUGAACCCUUCAGACUUCCUUUUGGAUCUUGCAAAUGGUAUGCUUUUAAUUUUUAUGCAUAUUAGCAAAUAUGAUAUGUCCUGUGAUAUUUUACUAAACACUUUGGUCUACAUUUUAGUUUUACUUUGAAUGUAGACCAUGUUAAAUCCUGAGCACCCAUGAACCAUGUUGUUACAAUUAACAUUCAGUAUAUAUCAUUUGCAAUAUAAUUCAUAUGUGCUAAAACUAAUUUGUAGAAAAACUCUUUUAACUUGUGAAUCAUGUUUUUCAUGGUCAACAUUAUACAGAGCAUAUAUUGAAUUUAACAUUGUUCUUGGAUCUCUAUAUAUUUGGAAUCUGUUAAAUUGUUAAGUGCUAUUUGCUCCUGGAACUGGCAACUGGACUAGCACAUUUUGUCUGAACGAAAAUAUUUGGUAUCGUUUUUUAAAUUAAACUUUUCUUAGAGAAUUUGAAGCUUCAUCCAAUGAGAUGUUGGUUUAGUGUUACAUGUUGAUUCCCUUUAAAUAAGAUAUCGAGUUUGAGUGUUGUGUAUUCUUAAAACCAUGCUGAGAGAGCUAAUUCCCUUAAACUAUGAAUCAUCCUGACUCGAACAGGUUUGGCUCUUUUUUUUCUUUGUCCAUGAAUUUACAGCUUUUAACUUUCAACAUCUAAACAAUAAUAAUAUUAUAGUAGAGUGAUAAGUUCUCUGUUGAUGUGUAAAAGUCCAAAUGAAAAAAUGAUUAUGUUUGAUGUUUAUUUAAAAGAAAACAUUUGAUAUUGGAUUAUACCUUGUUACUUUGCUAAGUGAGGAAAAUUUGCAGGUAUCUACACUGAUGGGUUAAACCAGGACCAUGUCAUAGAUAAACAACAUUUGAUUUCCACAUUUAAGAGCAAGUUUGAUGCACAAUUGAAGUCAAUAAAUCAAGAAAUCAGUGACCCUGAAAUUAGUCAGCGUAGAUUUCAAGGCACAGGCUCAAAGUGAAACAUGCAAAAGAUGUCUUAGAACAACUUGGUUUAACCAAGUGCAAGGAUAGCAUUGUUGGAAGCACAACUUUGAGGGGUGUUUCCGGGGGAGAGAGAAAAAGGGUUAGCAUUGGGCAAGAAUUGCUUAUAAAUCCAAGCUUGUUGUUUUUAGAUGAACCUACCUCUGGGUUAGACUCAACCACAGCACAGAGGAUUGUGUCAACUUUGUGGGAGCUUGCAAGAGGAGGGAGGACUGUUGUGAUGACAAUACACCAGCCUUCAAGUAGGUUAUACUACUUGUUUCAUAAAGUGUUGUUGCUGGCAGAAGGG